GUAGCAGUGUAAAUGAAAUGAAAUGACUGUGUAAUAAGUCUGUGAGCCUUAUGCUAUUAUCUUUCACAUAUAUUUGUAAUAUUCCAUUAUGCCAGUUUUCAAAAAUAUUUUCUUCUAUUAAUAUUUUCUAAGUUUUAUGUCUUUAAGGCAAUAUUUUUCAACUUGAGACAAUAUACUUUUUAUUCUUAGCAUUUCGUUGUUAAAUUACUUUAUUCUUACUAUAUUUAAAUGUUUUUCUGUCUUUAGACAGGACUCUAAAAAUCAAAUGAUGUCUAUAUCCAGAGAGACCAGAUAAAUGAGCAGUUUGGAAGCUAAAGAAGGUUCAGUACCCUGAGAAUGGAGAAGAAUCCUACUUUGGAGACAAAUUUUUCAAGGUGAUUAAGAACCCAGCAAAACCAUGUGCUCAACUUCCUUCUCUUUUUGGAUCUCAGUGUAGUCUGCUUACCUACACUAAGCAUUAAGCUCCCUCCCUGCUCAACGACAUGAUUUCUAUCUCAGUCACCCAGCUGCCCCAGUCCUCAUAGUGUGCCCAGAACACAGUAAGUGGUCAUGUGGAUGAAGGAUGGAAGUCUCAGGAGACCCCUGCCAAGCAUGGCAGCAAGUAUAUAGUAGGUCCUGGCACUGAACACAUUAACUGAAGACUGUAUGGAAAGACCUUGAAGUUGAGGGAACAAAUCCCCAGAUUUCCUUCAUCUAGUGGAAGAUGCAUCAUUCCUGCUUUGGGACAAA
rnacentral:lncRNA from 1 species